GGGCCCGUAGCUCAGCUAGGUAGAGCAGCAGGCUUUUAACCUGAUGGUCGCGCGUUCAAAUCGCGCCGGGCUCGCCA
rnacentral:tRNA from 1 species